rnacentral:rRNA from 1 species
AUUGAACGCUGGCGGCAGGCCUAACACAUGCAAGUCGAGCGAGCGGCGGACGGGUGAGUAAUGUAUGGGGAACUGCCCGAUGGAGGGGGAUAACUACUGGAAACGGUAGCUAAUACCGCAUACUAUCAGAUGUGCCCAGAUGGGAUUAGCUAGUAGGUGGGGUAACGGCUCACCUAGGCGACGAUCCCUAGCUGGUCUGAGAGGAUGACCAGCCACACUGGAACUGAGACACGGCCCAGACUCCUACGGGAGGCAGCAGUGGGGAAUAUUGCACAAUGGGCGCAAGCCUGAUGCAGCCAUGCCGCGUGUAUGAAGAAGGCCUUCGGGUUGUAAAGCACUUUCAGCCGGGAGGCGUUACCCGCAGAAGAAGCACCGGCUAACUCCGUGCCAGCAGCCGCGGUAAUAC